CACAGACCACCUUCUCUCCCUACUUGUAAAAUACUCUCCUUAAAUAAAAGUUUGCCGUUUAUUAGCUCCAUCUCUGCUGAGCACAACCAUUGUAUAUUAGCUGGGAUGAAGAGAGUUCACAAUAAUGAAGAAGAGGAUGACGACGACGAUGAUGAUGGAACCCGUUCUCAACAUAAAUCCUCUUCAUGAAUUUAUCAGAAUUGAAUCAAUAAGGCAUCAAGUUCAGUUUGAUCCAGGUUUGUGUCCGAGAGCUCGCGACUGGUCCCGUGGCUAGCAUCAGAGCUUUUGGGUGAGCUACUAGCAGGACCCGCAGCCUCGGAUCUCUUCUUAUGUAUUUUGUUUGUUUCUUUUCUACAGACAGUAUCUAUAUCAAUAUUGAGGCUGUAUUUCAUUUUCAAAUAAUGUAUUCCAUUUAGAAGCUCUUGUACAAGUUAAGACCAGGUUUUGGAAAUUUUAAAGAUUAAGUUAUUCUUCUGCAUUUAUUUUUAUUACUUAAAACUGUUAU